GACCUGCCCUCUCCUCGCGGUCCACCCCUCGGUUUGGUUUCGGCCAGGCCGGCGCGGGGAGGCGGGGACGCGAGGACGCGGUUAGUUUCCCCUCCCUCUUCGCGCGACGUGUCCUUGCCUCGCGCUCUUAAAGGGGCUGGAGCGGGACUUGGCGAAGCCCAGGGCCGUUGGUAGUCGCGGGGCUCGAGGCAGAGACCGUGGGAUUGGGCCUCAGGCUCUGCGCUGUGGUGUGGGCCGCACUGCCCAGAAGACUAGGGCACUGGCUGAGGACCCCCUUAUGUCAGGUGGCCGCGGUAGCGGUGAGGCUUUUCUUAGAGGCCCCUAGGCGUGGAGCCCCGCGGGGUAAUAUCAACUCUCUAGAACCUUAGCAAAGAAAUAAAGUGAGGAGGAAGCCUCUGAAAGCAAAAUGAUACAGUUUUCACAGACUCUUAUCAUAGUCACCACCAUCUACCUGGUCACCCAGACUAGAAACCUGGUUCUCUGGGACAUAGGAAAAAAUGCCUUCUCUCAAUGGACUCGUGCUAGGAUCCAGCAAAAUACUUAGCCUCUUGGAGCUUCAAAGUCUUUGCUCAUAAAAUGAGAGACUUGUGCUUAAGGACUUCCUCCACAAGUCCUUCCAGCUCACAUAUCACAUCAUUCUCUGAAACAUCACUGAUGACUGCAAUCAGAACAUCAAAUUGGACUUGGUGAAACUUCUAUUAGUGAGACCACACUGGAUUUCUAAAACUUGAUGACCACAGAUUGAAAACAACUAAAUAAAGAAGGUGUAGGGAUGCAUCCCAUUAUGUUGGAUAGAAGGGAUUGGGAUGUGAAAAUACCAUUAAAU